UGAGUAAAAGCCCGCUGGGUUGGGUGUUUAGUUGUUAAUUAAAAUUUUACGGGAUCGAGGCCCGUUUGCUCAG
rnacentral:tRNA from 1 species